CUUUAUCAAUGAUCUGGAUGAGAGGAUCGAGUGCACCCUCAGUGUUUGCAGAUGACACCAAGUUAGGUGCGUGUGUUGAUCUGCUCGAGGGUAGGAAGGCUCUGCAGGAGGAUCUGGAUAGGCUGGACCGAUGGGCUGAGGCCAACUGUAUGAGGUUAAACAAGGCCAAGUGCCGGGUCCUGCACCUGGGGCAUGACAACCCCAAACAGCGCUACAGGCUGGGAGAUGAGUGGUUGGAAAGCUGCCUGGCUGAGAAGGACCUGGGAGUAUUGGUUGAUAGGCAGCUGAAUAUGAGCCAGCAGUGUGCUCAGGUGGCCAAGAAGGCCAACAGCAUCCUGGCUUGCAUAAGAAACAGUGUGGCCAGCAGGUCUAGGGAAGUGAUUGUCCCCCUUUACUCGGCUCUGGUGAGGCCACACCUCGAGUACCGUGUUCAGUUUUGGGCCCCUCACUACAAGAAGGACAUGGAGGUGCUCGAGCGAGUCCAGAGAAGGGCAACGAAGCUGGUGAGGGGUCUGGAGAACAAGUCUUACGAGGAGCAGCUGAGGGAGCUGGGAUUGUUCAGCCUGGAGAAGAGGAGGCUCAGGGGCGACCUUAUCGCUCUCUACAGGUACCUUAAAGGAGGCUGUAGCAACGUAGGGGUUGGUCUAUUCUCCCACGUGCCUGGUGACAGGACGAGGGGGAAUGGGCUAAAGUUGCACCAGGGGAGGUUUAGGUUGGAUAUUAGGAAGAACUUCUUUACCGAAAGGGUUGUUAGGCACUGGAAUAGGCUGCCCAGGGAAGUGGUUGAGUCACCAUCCCUGGAGGUCUUUAAGAGACAUUUAGAUGUAGAGCUUAGUGAUAUGGUUUAGUGGAGGACUUGUUAGUGUUAGGUCAGAGAUGGGACUCGGUGAUCUUGGAGGUCUCUUCCAACCUAGAUGAUUCUGUGAAAUGUUUCCUUAUAGACGUUAGGUGUGAAAGGAAUUACUUUUUCAACAUAGUGGUCUGUCAUGUGUUCAGAUGAAACCUUUCCACUGUCUUUGGUAACUGAUGAGUAAGGGCAGUGCCUAGAAAAAAAUAUUGUUCUUAGAUGCUUAGAUAAACAGGGUUCAAGCUGUCCUUCUUCACAUAAUGGUAUAAGAACAUGGAAGGCAGAUCAGGGGAAAAAAAAAAAAAAAAAAAAAAAGCUUCACACCACACUUUAUAAGUAUUCAGGUGAUAUGAAGUUUCAGAUAAAGAUGAUCAAGGGACUGAAGUAC
rnacentral:lncRNA from 1 species